rnacentral:rRNA from 1 species
CAGAGGGUGCGAGCGUUGUUCGGAAUUACUGGGCGUAAAGCGCGCGCAGGCGGCCUUUUAAGUCUACCCGUGAAAUGCCGGAGCUCAACUCCGUGCACGCCGGGGGAUACUGGGAGGCUGGAGACAUGUAGAGGCAAGCGGAAUUCCGGGUGUAGCGGUGGAAUGCGUAGAUAUCCGGAAGAACACCUGAGGCGAAGGCGGCUUGCUGGGCAUGAUCUGACGCUGAGGCGCGAAAGCGUGGGGAGCAAACAGGAUUAGAUACCCUGGUAGUCCACGCCGUAAACGAUGGGCACUAGACGCGGGUGGGAUCGACCCCUUCCGUGUCGCAGCUAACGCGAUAAGUGCCCCGCCUGGGGAGUACGGCCGCAAGGCUG